CCUUGACCGCUAGUUUUGUAAGUAAAAGGGGAGAGAAAAAUCAAUUUCUCUUUCUUUCUUUCAUACUUCAGAAAAACAGAAGCUAAUCACGUAAACACACCCUCAUCUCCUUCAUCUUGCUCCAAGAACCACCACCAUCCAAGCCACCGCCGGCCACCAUCACCACCCAUAACACCUUGCGCGUGAAGGAGGAGCUGCGAGAGGAAAGGGAACCGCGAAGAGGGGGAGAAGAAGGACGUGGACAGCAAGCCUUUUGAUCUUGAAUCUUCAUCUUUUCUUUCUUUUCAGGCCAUUAACCCAAGAUGGUCGUGAAGAUAAUGGCGAUGACUCAUUCUUGGGAGUUGAUGCUAAGUGACGUGCCAAUACCGGAGGACGACUACACUUCAGAGGAAGAGGCUAAGGAAUAGGGUUUGGGUUGAGAGUCUUUUGUUUUCUGUUGGGGUUGAGAGUUUCCGAAGUGUUGGUAUCGAACAAUUUUAUUGCUUAAAUUCGAAUGAACAAGUUUUGAUGUAAUCUUUAUUUUCAUUCAGGCCUUUGAUUCGUA